rnacentral:rRNA from 1 species
AUGGCCAUGUUCUCCGACAGCGAGUCCCCCACGAACCCGAUCCGGCGCCCCCUGGUCGCCGCGAGGAACGCGGCGGGGUCGACCCUCGGGACGACGGCGCCGGAGCCGCAGCGGGAGGGGGCCCAGGAGAACGCGGCGACCGGGGCACGGCCGUUGCGGAGGCAGUUCCAGCUUUUGUGGUGGAAGGGGCAGGACUGGUUGUAG